GUACCCUGGUAGUCCACGCUGUAAACGAUGUCGACUUGGAGGUUGUUCCCUUGAGGAGUGGCUUCCGGAGCUAACGCGUUAAGUCGACCGCCUGGGGAGUACGGCCGCAAGGUUAAAACUCAAAUGAAUUGACGGGGGCCCGCACAAGCGGUGGAGCAUGUGGUUUAAUUCGAUGCAACGCGAAGAACCUUACCUACUCUUGACAUCCAGAGAACUUAGCAGAGAUGCUUUGGUGCCUUCGGGAACUCUGAGACAGGUGCUGCAUGGCUGUCGUCAGCUCGUGUUGUGAAAUGUUGGGUUAAGUCCCGCAACGAGCGCAACCCUUAUCCUUUGUUGCCAGCGAUUCGGUCGGGAACUCAAAGGAGACUGCCAGUGAUAAACUGGAGGAAGGUGGGGAUGACGUCAAGUCAUCAUGGCCCUUACGAGUAGGGCUACACACGUGCUACAAUGGCAUAUACAAAGAGAAGCGACCUCGCGAGAGCAAGCGGACCUCAUAAAGUAUGUCGUAGUCCGGAUUGGAGUCUGCAACUCGACUCCAUGAAGUCGGAAUCGCUAGUAAUCGUAGAUCAGAAUGCUACGGUGAAUACGUUCCCGGGCCUUGUACACACCGCCCGUCACACCAUGGGAGUGGGUUGCAAAAGAAGUAGGUAGCUUAAC
rnacentral:rRNA from 1 species